UACAGAGGGGGCAAGCGUUAUUCGGAAUUAUUGGGCGUAAAGGGCGCGUAGGCGGCUUGGCAAGUGGAAGGUGAAAUCCCUCGGCUUAACCGAGGAACUGCCCUCCAAACUGCUUUGCUUGAGGCCGGGAGAGGCGAGUGGAAUUCCCAGUGUAGCGGUGAAAUGCGUAGAGAUCGGCAGGAACACCCAGGGAGAAAUCAGCCGCCUGGGCAAGUGCUGACGCUGAGGUGCGAAAGCGUGGGGAGCGAACCGG
rnacentral:rRNA from 1 species